rnacentral:rRNA from 1 species
UGCCAGCCGCCGCGGUAAUACGGAGGGUGCAAGCGUUAUCCGGAUUUAUUGGGUUUAAAGGGUGCGCAGGCGGAUUAUUAAGUCAGUGGUGAAAGCCCUCGGCUCAACCGAGGAACUGCCAUUGAUACUGAUAAUCUUGAGUAUAGUUGUAGUAGGCGGAAUAUAUCAUGUAGCGGUGAAAUGCUUAGAUAUGAUAUAGAACACCGAUCGCGAAGGCAGCUUACUAAACUAUAACUGACGCUCAGGCACGAAAGCGUGGGGAGCAAACAGGAUUAGAUA